UGCUUGAGAGUGCAGCCCUAAGCGGGUGGU
rnacentral:sRNA from 1 species